rnacentral:rRNA from 1 species
AGUGAACGCUGGCGGCGUGCCUAAUACAUGCAAGUCGAACGGAGUGGCGCACGGGUGAGUAAUGUAUAGCUAAUCUGCCCUACACUAGAGGACAACAGUUGGAAACGACUGCUAAUACUCCAUAGUGUACGAUGAGUCUAUAUUGUAUCAGCUAGGUGGUGAGGUAAUGGCUCACCAAGGCGAUGACGCAUAACUGGUCUGAGAGGAUGAGCAGUCACACUUGAACUGAGGCACGGUGCAGACUCCUACGGGAGGCAGCAGUAGGGCAUAUCGCUCAAUGGGGGAGAACGUAAAGCGGCAUCGGGGCGUGAAGGAUGACUCUUUUCGGAGCGUAAACUCCGUUUGUUAGGGAAGCGGUACCUAACGAAUAAGCACCGGCUAACUCCGGGCCAGCAGCCGCGGUAAUAC